rnacentral:rRNA from 1 species
AGAGUUUGAUCCUGGCUCAGGACGAACGCUGGCGGCGUGCCUAAUACAUGCAAGUAGAACGCUGAAGACUUUAGCUUGCUAGAGUUGGAAGAGUUGCGAACGGGUGAGUAACGCGUAGGUAACCUGCCUACUAGCGGGGGAUAACUAUUGGAAACGAUAGCUAAUACCGCAUAACAGUGUUUAACACAUGUUAGAUGCUUGAAAGAUGCAAUUGCAUCACUAGUAGAUGGACCUGCGUCGUAUUAGCUAGUUGGUGGGGUAACGGCCUACCAAGGCGACGAUACAUAGCCGACCUGAGAGGGUGAUCGGCCACACUGGGACUGAGACACGGCCCAGACUCCUACGGGAGGCAGCAGUAGGGAAUCUUCGGCAAUGGGGGCAACCUGACCGAGCAACGCCGCGUGAGUUAAGAAGUUUUCGGAGCGUAAACUCUUUUGUAAUAUAAGAACGUUCGUUAUAUGUGGAAAGUCACACAUGUACGUUAACUUACCAUAAAGGCACGCCUAACAUCGUCCACACCCGUCCUAAU